ACGGUAACAGGUCUUCGGAUGCUGACGAGUGGCGAACGGGUGAGUAUACAUCGGAACGUGCCCAGUAAUGGGGGAUAGCUCGGCGAAAGCCGGAUUAAUACCGCAUACGCCCUGAGGGGGAAAGUGGGGGACCGCAAGGCCUCACGUUAUUGGAGCGGCCGAUGGCUGAUUAGCUAGUUGGUAGGGUAAAGGCCUACCAAGGCGACGAUCAGUAGCUGGUCUGAGAGGACGAUCAGCCCCACUGGGACUGAGACACGGCCCAGACUCCUACGGGAGGAAGCAGUGGGGGAAUUUGGACAAUGGGGGAAACCCUGAUCCCACAAUGCCCCGUGUGCGAAAAAAGCCUUCCGGUUGUAAAGCACUUUUUUCCGGGAAAAAAAUCCUUUGGGGUUAAUACCCCUGGGGGGGAAGACGGUCCCCUGAAAAAAA
rnacentral:rRNA from 1 species